GAGUGGGACACGGGUGAGUAACGCGUGGGAAUCUACCUUAAAGACGGAAUAACUCAGGGAAACUGGAGCUAAUACCGUAUACGCCCUACGGGGGAAAGAUUUAUCGGGGCUGGAUGAGCCCGCGUUGGAUUAUCUAGUUGGUGGGGGAAAGGCCUACCAAGGCGACAAUCCAUAGCUGGUCUGAGAGAAUGAUCAACCACACUGGGACUGAGACACGGCCCACACUCCUACGGGAGGGAGCAGUGGGGAAUAUUGGACAAUGGGCGAAAGCCUGAUCCAGCCAUGCCGCGUGAGUGAUGAAGGCCCUAGGGUUGUAAAGCUCUUUCUUUGGGGAAGAUAAUGACGGUACCCGCAGAAAAAACCCCGGCUAACUUCGUGCCAGCAG
rnacentral:rRNA from 1 species